CCCAGUCCAAGGCAUCACCAGCUGAUGACCUUUCAACUGUCAACUUUGACCUGGCCCUCCCAGUGCAAUCUCAAGCUAACUUGUCAUAAUGCAAAUCUGAGCAUAUUACCCUUCUGACUCGAGUAUUUUAUCCUUUUCUCACUGUUCCCAGGGUCAAUCUCCUAGCCCCAAAGGGGGAAGACUCCAUCCCUACCUCAGCCAAGGUUAAUGACAAUGCACGAGUGAGCCUGAGAAGGCAGCUGACUCGUGGGGCAGAUACGAGGAUCCUCAAGCCGUGACGAGGGGGCACUUACAAAACAACACCCAGGCCACAGUACAAGCACAAAAAUGCUUCCGAGCUGAAGUCAACAGCACAUUGACGAGAUCACACGCCAUGGCCAAGCCAGUUCACUCCAAGAAUGCAAUGGCAGCUCACCUCACCCAGGUUCCAUUGUGCCUAGCUCAGAACAUGUCCUUGCCAGCAGAUACUGAAGAUGUAUAGGCAAGGUCAAAUUUCACAUACGGUAAGCAGAUCCAGAAAACCCAGGAACACAAGACCCUCAACUGAUGUAGCACCUGGGAAGAGCCUGCAUGGCUAGCGUGAGCAUCUUGGGAAAUGGGGACACAGCUAUGAUGCUCAGAUGUGACUGCACACAGCUACACGUGAGUGUCAUCUAUGGCCGUAGUCCUUUGAGGAUUAAUCCCUUGGGUCCCUUUGGUCUCUUUGGAACUAGAAACUCCCACAGCCAUCCUUCUCUAACUUCCCAAACUGUGGGAAACGGGACAAAACCCCUGAAAGUGUCCAGACUCACCCUCCAUCUCUCCACCUCUCUCAGUGAGGUGACCUAUCACCUCCUCUCCAUCAAGACAAACAAAGGGACUUCGCCCACCUCACAAAAUAAAGCAAGUGAGGAAGAUUUACUGAAGGUGGUUACAAAAGAGAAGAGAGCUGAGCACUUAAGUCAGAACUCCAUUGUUCUGAAACAAGAGGCAUGCAGGCUCUCAAAAGCUAGGGAAAGAAGAUGUGUGUGUGUGUGUGAGUGUGUGUGUGUGUGUGUGUGUGUGUGUGUGUGUGUGUGUGUCUGUGUCUGUGUGUGUGUCUGUGUGUGUGUGUG